rfam:Schistosoma haematobium scaffold1693_7, whole genome shotgun sequence.
AGCCUUCUGAAUCCAUGCUGAGAUUCUUUCAGAUACCAAACCACCAGGACUGAUGCGACUCCAAAGAUAAGCGAAACU